rnacentral:rRNA from 1 species
UACGUAGGGGGCAAGCGUUGUCCGGAAUCAUUGGGCGUAAAGAGCGUGUAGGCGGUUCGGUAAGUCGGCUGUGAAAGUCCAGGGCUCAACCCUGGGAUGCCGGUCGAUACUGCCGGACUAGAGUUCGGAAGAGGCGAGUGGAAUUCCCGGUGUAGCGGUGAAAUGCGCAGAUAUCGGGAGGAACACCUAUGGCGAAGGCAGCUCGCUGGGACGUUACUGACGCUGAGACGCGAAAGCUAGGGGAGCAAACGGG